GUUCAGUUAUAAAAGAUAACCCGCUUGUAGCCUUGGCACGCAUUAAAGCCCGAGUAGGAUGCGGAACGGAACAUUUUUGAGUCUGGUGCCCGUCGGUUGAAAUGUACGACGGACUUGUCCUCAGUUUAGCGAACUUUUCAGUUUCGAGUGAGCUAUCCGUGUAUUAUAUUAAUGGCCGAAGCGAUAGCUGAAGAAAUAUCUGCGCUGAGUGCCAUUUACUGUGAUAAGGAUGAAUUUGAGUUACUCGAAACGACAGAUACAGUUGGAGCCAUAUUCAGAAUUCAGAUUGCAGUGGACAGUGGCUCAGAAAGGAUUCUUUUGAAGCUCCAAUUUCACCUGCCUAUUGAAUACCCAUCUUCUCCACCUGAUAUUUCAGUAAGCUGUGAGAGGCUCACUAGGAAGCAGUGCCUAGCUAUAAAGCAUGCCUUGCUCGAAAAGGCCACAUCGCUCAUAUCGGGUCCCAUGGUCCAUGAACUGAUUGUGUGGCUGCAGCACAAUUUCACAUCCAUCAAUGAGAAAUCAGCAAAUCCAAGAACUCCCAAUUGUCAGAGUGAACAGGGCGGUGAUGCUGAACUAUGGACAGCUCUUCUACUCCUAGACCACAUGAGAGCAAAAAGUAAGUAUAUGAAAACAAUUGAGAAAUGGACUUCAGACCUGGGACUCACAGGAAGGCUGUUUAUGGGAAAAUUGAUAUUAAUUCUUUUACAAGGAAGGAAAAGAAACAUUAAGGAUUAUAUCGUUCUUCAGAAAACCUCAAAGGUUGAUGUAGAUUCAAGUGGAAAGAAAUGUAAAGAGAAAAUGAUGCAGGUCCUCCGGGAAAUACAAAUGCCAUCUAGCUACCAACAAAUUCCAACAUUUGAAAUUAAAGAUUAUUCAUCUCAGGAGGACCUCAAGCAAGAAUUUGAAUUAACUGGACUAUCAGAGCUGUAUCUUGAGCUUGCACACAUGUUGGUGUUACUGAAGGGUGUCCAAAGGGGAACUGUGAUGUCCUUCAAGUGAGCUAGCGCCAGUCUCUCAAAGCUUUUCAUGACAGAUGUCAUAACGGAAGGCCUGCAAUCAUUCAGUCCUGGAAUUUAUUGUAUCAACUGGCAUGGGUUUGCAAGUGAAGAUGAUUAUGAAGAUCUUAAGUGGAGCACUCAUAUAAUCAGACAAAGGAUGGAGCAACAAUAAAUAUGGGAAUCCUGUCACUAAAAAUACAUACGUUGUUGCCACUCAGCACCUGGGAACCUUGAUACAGAGUGGGUACAUAAUAGUUGCACAUGACCACAAUCUUCCAUCCUCCUUUCUCUGUACAUGAAUAACAGAAAUGACACAUCUUGUCACCCAAAGAGUCAAUAAACCAUGGGAGCUGAU